UACGGAAGGGGGCUAGCGUUGCUCGGAAUCACUGGGCGUAAAGCGCACGUAGGCGGAUCUUUAAGUCAGAGGUGAAAUCCCAAGGCUCAACCUUGGAACUGCCUUUGAUACUGGGGAUCUUGAGUCCGGGAGAGGUGAGUGGAACUGCGAGUGUAGAGGUGAAAUUUCGUAGAUAUUCGCAAGAACACCAGUGGCGAAGGCGGCUCACUGGCCCGGUACUGACGCUGAGGUGCGAAAGGCGUGGGGAGCAAACAGG
rnacentral:rRNA from 1 species